rnacentral:tRNA from 1 species
GGGGUUGUAGCUCAGUGGUGGAGCGCUUGCCUGGCAUGUGUGAGGCACUGGGUUCAAUUCUCAACACCA